CCUACGGGGGGGUGCAGUGGGGAAUAUUGGACAAUGGGCGAAAGCCUGAUCCAGCCAUGCCGCGUGUGUGAAGAAGGCCUUCGGGUUGUAAAGCACUUUCAGUGGGGAAGAAAGCCUUGGGGCUAAUACCCUCGAGGAAGGACAUCACCCACAGAAGAAGCACCGGCUAACUCCGUGCCAGCAGCCGCGGUAAUACGGAGGGUGCGAGCGUUAAUCGGAAUUACUGGGCGUAAAGCGCGCGUAGGCGGUCUGAUAAGCCGGUUGUGAAAGCCCCGGGCUCAACCUGGGAACGGCAUCCGGAACUGUCAGGCUAGAGUGCAGGAGAGGAAGGUAGAAUUCCCGGUGUAGCGGUGAAAUGCGUAGAGAUCGGGAGGAAUACCAGUGGCGAAGGCGGCCUUCUGGACUGACACUGACGCUGAGGUGCGAAAGCGUGGGUAGCAAACAGGAUUAGAUACCCUGGUAGUC
rnacentral:rRNA from 1 species